UGGUGGAGUGAUUUGUCUGGUUAAUUCCGUUAACGAACGAGACCCCCGCCUGCUAAAUAGUCAUGUUAAUGUCUGACAUUGACGUUGGCUUCUUAGAGGGACUUUCGGUGACUAACCGAAGGAAGUUGGGGCAAUAACA
rnacentral:rRNA from 1 species